ACCUUGUGAUCAAAAUUGUGGACGGACUUUAGGAUGUAGAAACCAUAAGUGUCCGUCUGUCUGCCACAGAGGCAGCUGCUAUCCAUGCCCAGAAACGGUAGAUGUGAAGUGCAACUGUGGUAACGCAAAGGUGACAGUACCCUGUGGCCGAGAGCGGACUACAAGGCCACCUAAGUGCAAAGAGCUGUGCAGACCAGCAGUUCCCGGGCCUGUGAGAUACUGUACAGUCAUCAUGGCUGCAGGUAGAAACAGGUCAGGAAGCUUCGUCAGGAGCACUGUGCCCCUGUGUAUUAAGUUAGUCUUUGUCCUCAGAUGUGUCCACGUCCAACACUUCAUCCUGUGAAUUCAGAUAGAACUGAGCCAUAUGUGCAGCCACAAGGAUAUUUCUCUGUGAUAUUUCACUUACUGGGUACUUUUCUUGAUCAUGUAACUUUCUACUUUUUUAAAGAAAUGAUUCUGUAACAGAAUCUUAAAUUCUAACAGGAAGUUUUAUAGUUAGAUUUCAGAUUAUCAGAGAGGAAUUUUUAUUGGUAAUUGAAGCAAAUUUUACACUGCGUAUUCCUCGGAUAUAUAAACAAGUGCCAGACGAGGUUCCUUUUAGGACGUUGUUGGGUUGGGUUUUUUUUUUUUUUUUUUUUUUUUUUGGUGUAAGAAGCUUUAAUUGAUGUUGGCAUGUUUUGUAAAACUUGUGUGUAUCUUUUUAUGAUCAUAAUAAAGGAAAACUAAUAUUUAUGAGCAAUAUGUGCAGAGCACAGGGCUGGUGGGUGUAAUGUACUUGAUUCCAUUUUUUUUUUACUGUAAUUUUUGAUAUAGCUGAGAAUAAUCCAUUUUGUGAAAUCAAACUGAUAGAGAAAUAAUAAGCCAAAUUGCAUAGAUUUGUAAGUCAUUUAAAGUAGUUUUGCUAUUUAAUUUUAUGAUUGUUUUCAUUAAAAGUUUUCAUACC
rnacentral:lncRNA from 1 species